AGUCUAAGGGUGUUAAACCUGGAGGCGAAGUGAAAGCGAUGUGCUCAUUAUGAGAACUGAUCAUUCUCGAGCCGAGGGAAGAUGGCUGACCCCCGCGCUUGCGCGGAAAAGGCAGCCCGCAUUCCCGGGGCGCCUCGGGGGACCCUCUAGGGGGUCCGCAAUCCCGUUGGUGCACCUUGAGCGCACACGUUGGGACCCGAAAGAUGGUGAUCUAUGCCUGGCCAGGAUGAAGUCAGGGGAAACCCUGAUGGAGGUCCGAAGCGAUUCUGACGUGCAAAUCGAUCGUCCGAGCUGGGUGUAGGGGCGAAAGACCAAUCGAACCAUCUAGUAGCUGGUUCCCUCCGAAGUUUCCCUUAGGAUAGCUGGAGCCCACUUAAGUCUGAGUCCCUUCCGAUAAAGCGAAUGAUUAGAGGAAUUGGGGUCGAAACGGCCUCAACCUAUUCUCAAACUUUAAAUGGGAGCGAAGGUUGGAUUUCUUGAUUGAAGCCAUAAUUCUCGGAUGUGGGUCUCUAGUGGGCCGCUUCUGGUAAGCAGAACUGGCGCUGUGGGAUGAA
rnacentral:rRNA from 1 species